rnacentral:rRNA from 1 species
UGCGCGGCUAUCAUGCAGUCGAACGCACAGCCGAAAGGUGCUUGCACCUUUCAAGUGAGUGGCGAACGGGUGAGUAACACUGGAUAACCUACCUCAAGGUUGGGGAUAACAUUUGGAAACAGAUGCUAAUACCGAAUAAAACUUCGUAUCGCAUGAUACAAGGUUAAAAGGCGCUAGGCGUCACCUAGAGAUGGAUCCGCGGUGCAUUAGUUAGUUGGUGGGGUAAAGGCUUACCAAGACAAUGAUGCAUAGCCGAGUUGAGAGACUGAUCGCCACAUUGGGACUGAGACACGGCCCAAACUCCUACGGGAGGCUGCAGUAGGGAAUCUUCCACAAUGGGCGAAAGCCUGAUGGAGCAACGCCGCGUUGUGAUGAAGGCUUUCGGGUCGUAAAGCACUGUUGUAUGGGAAGAACAGCUAGAGUAGGGAAUGACUUUAGUUUGACGGUACCAUACCAGAAAGGGCGGCUAAAUACGUGCCAGCAGCCGCGGUAAUACGUAUGUCCCGAGCGUUAUCCGGAUUUAUUGGGCGUAAAGCGAGCGCAGACGGUUAAUUAAGUCGAUGUGAAAGCCCGGAGCUCAACUCCGGAAAGGCAUUGGAAACUGGUUAACUUGAGUGCAGUAGAGGUAAGUGGAACUCCAUGUGUAGCGGUGGAGGCGUAGAUAUAUGGAAGAACACCAGCGGCGAAGGCGGCUUACUGGACUGUAACUGACGUUGAGGCUCGAAAGUGUGGGUAGCAAACAGGAUUAGAUCCCUGGUAGCCCACACCGUAAACGAUGAACACUAGGU